rnacentral:lncRNA from 1 species
AGCUGAGGACAGGCACUCCUGCCUUCCACCUAAAUUUUGCAUUUCCCGAGACACCUUGGCCCGCCAUUCCCCCGUCCUGUGCCUGUAAAAACUCCAGGCCCUAGAAGGCACACACGCACAAGUGGCUGGACUUCGUGAGGAAUUCAUAGGGGAAGAAGAUGCAAGUGGCUGGUCAUGGAGAGGACUUUUUGACGAGCGCCGGCAAAAGAGCACAGCGAAGAAAUCCCAGGAUACGGAAAGCCCUCUGUACUUGCAACAAGAGUCUCACUGUGUCAGCCAGGCUGGAGUGGCAUGAUCUUGGCUCACUGCAACCUCCGUCUCCCGGGCUCAAGCAAUUCUCCUGCCUCAGCCUCCAGAGUAGCUGGGAUUACAGAAUGUUUAUGUGCUAUUGCAUAGUCCCUGGCGUGCCAUCUGUUCCUGCAGUCAAGACCAGUAAACUCAGGUAUGAGCCUUGCAAGAAGACAUACAUAUUUUGCUGAUUGCCAAGGGGAUAAUGCAUUGGGUAUAAGAAGAAGGAAAGUAGAGGAACCAAUUAAGAAAUAUUUACUACAAUUAAGAAGAGAUGAUAAUAACUUCGACCAAGGUGGAGGCUAUGAAGAUGGAGCAAUGCGAAUACAUGGAGACAUGUUUUUGAUGUAGACUCAGCAAGAAAUUCUAAUAUAUUAGAUUUUAUGUUUUGGGAGAAAAAGAGACAUCUCCAAGAUUAUGGCUUGAAUAGAUUGGGACUAAUAGUGAAACUUGAGAGUGAUCACAUAUGGAGAUGAAAGAUUGAAAGACCUCUCGCUGAACAUAAUAUAGAAGGUCUAAAAUACUCUCAAGUCCCCUCCAUCUCAAAAUGACAGCAGUAACAGUGAAAACUAAACAUAGCUGUACCAAGGAUGACCCAGCAAGAAGGUUCUCAUCAGUGGCUGACCAGAUGCCAGAAACAUGCCAUUGGAGUGCCCAGCCUUCAGAACACCAGUCUCUACAACUGGAUGAAAAUGCAUCAAAUCCUUCUGUUCCCCUCAUUUGAAGAUGUCUGGACAUGAACACAUGCUCCCAAGAGAAUGAACUGAGGAUUUGUCUUUAUAAUCACUGUCUUGAUUCCAUGCUUCCUAUUUCUUCAUAAAAGUAGAGAGAGACAUUUAAGAGAGAGACAUGGAGUUGUAAAUAUUAUUCAAGAAGAAGAACGAAUUCUAAAGUCAUCCAGAAAACAGUGGGAGCUUCCCAGUCAAAAUUGGUGAGCCACAACACAAAGAUAAUAAAACAUCUUCUAUCCUUAGAAUAACAUUAUAGAUGUAUCAUAUAAAAAAGUAAAUCAUACUCUAAUUCUCUCCAUAAAAGGUGUAUUGAAAAUAUGUUUAAUUUGUUAUGUAUUUUAAAAUAAAUAUUAUAUAGUAACAAUGAUUUUUGGCUUAGUUAGUUAUAACAGCAUUUGUUAAAUUAUGUAUCAGAAUUAAAUGGAAUCAUGUACCUAGAGAUGUUAAGAUAUAUUUCCAAAUGUAUGUUUGGAUCACAGUCAAAAUGGAGUUAAAUCAAAUUAGUAGGCUUUUUGUCUUUGGAUUUUAAAAUAAUACAUUUUAUUUUUAAGUAUAUGUUAUGAAUUCCUAAAAAAGAAUUUCCCACACCACACUUAUUUUGCUAGAGUCAUACUCCUACUGUACUUUUUUUUUUUUUUUUUUUUUGGCUAGAAUGCAGUGACACAAUCGUAGCUCACUGCAGUAUCAUACUCCCAGGUUCAAACAAUCCUCUUGCUUCAGUCUCUUAAGUAGCUAGGACUACAGGCAUGCACUACCAUGCUCAGCUAAUUUUUCAAAUCUUUUUGUAAAGAUAUGGUCUCACUGUGUUGCUCAGGCUGGUGUUGAAUUCCUAGCCUCAAGUGCUCCUCCAGCCUUAGUCUUUCAAAGCACUGAGAUUACAGGUGUGUGCCACAACAACCAGCCUCCUAUUGUAUUCUUAUUGUUAUCUCAUGUAUGCUCUUUGAAAAGUAAUUUAGAAUACAUAUUUUCAGAAUUUUAUACAAUUUUGCACUGUCCAAAAUCUGAUGAAGUUAAUUAUCCUUGUUUUGUUGCAUAACCCAAUGCAGAUGACCAUCUCUAAACUUUCUAGAAUAGUCCUAAGGAGAGCUGAUAAAGAAAUAAGAAGACCAGUGCAAAGGCAGGUUCCACAAUUAAGAAAAUAGCUACAACAUGGCAUGCUUUAUGAUUCUAAAAAAAAUAAAUUGUAUAGUAAAAAAACAUUUAAACUGAUUUAUCUUUUAAUUUCUUUUGUUUUCUUUCACAUUUUUAUUAUAGUAAGAAAGUUACACAGAAAAGUGGAAAAUAAUGAAACCCUCCAAUGCAUGUACCUAUUAUCAUAUGCCACUUUUAAAGCUUAUGGGGAAGUCAGCUUUACCCAAACCACCUAGACUGAGAGUAAGACAGUGGUGGCCCAUUGAGGACAAGGGAAUUCUGUUAUACCCACAAAGAAGAAAUUAUGAUUAGGAAAAAUAAGAUAUUUUCAUGGUAAUUAUGUUGCACAGAGUUAUAACAAAUAGAAGUAUAAAAAAAUUACAACUCUUCCAAAUUGCCUGAAUUAAAACACACACACACUCAUAUAUGCAUACACAUCCAAAAACAUAGGAAAGAAGAGCCUAAUCAUUUUUAUUGUAUAAAAACUCUCAGAAAAUAAAAACAUAAAAAUAACAACAAUAGAACAAAUAGCCCCUUUAAAAAUUGGGUAAAGGAUAUGUAUAGACAUUUUUCAAAGAAGACGUACAAAUAACCAAAGAGCAUAUGAAAAAAUGUUUAACAUCACUAAUAAUCAGAGAAAUGCAAAUUAAAAACAAAAUGAGAUAUCAUAUUAUACAAGUCAAAAUGGCUAUUAUAAAAAUAAAAUAACAGAUGAUACUUAUACACUGUUGGUAGAAAUGUACAAUAGUACAACCUACAUGAAAAAUAUGGAGAUUUCUACCAUUCGAAUCAGCAAUAUCACCAUUGAGUAUUUACUCAAAUGAAAAUAAAUCAUUAUAUCAAAAAGACCUGUGCUUGUAUAUUUAUUGCAGCACUAUUCACAACAGCAAUGAUAUAGAAGCAAUCUAAUUGUCUAUCAACAGAUUGGAUAAAGAAAAUGUGGUACACAUACACAAUGGAAUACUACUUAGUCAUAAAAAAGAAUAAAAGCAUGUCUUUUGCAGCAACAUUUAAUGAAACUCUAGGCCAUUAUCUUAAGUGAAGCAACUCAGAAACAGAAAAACAAAUACCACAUGUUCUCACCUAAAAGUGGGAGCUUAAUACUUAAUGAGUACAAUGUACAUUAUUCAGUGAUGAACACUCUAAAAGCCCAGACUUCACCACUAUGCAAUAUAUUCAAGUAACAAAAUUGCACUUUUGCCCCUUAAAUUUAUACAAGUAUAAAGAACUGCACAAUUAAAGCAAAAUAGUACAGUAUAACAACAAAUAUAAAUGGUGACAACUCAUCUACUUAAAUUUUGAAAAAAGAAAAAGCUAAGGUGUAUUAAUCAAAUGCUGUGGUUGUGAUACUGGAACCAGAUAAAGAUAAUUUAGUAUACAAAUAUGCUGAAAGGUUCAGUCCAUUAAAGGUAUCAAAUCAAACGAAAAUUCCACAAUAAGGUCUACUUCAGCUAAUUAAUAAAUUAGGAAAUAUUAAUAACAAAAUUUGCGAAGUAUAAAUUUUGUGAACUGAGAGGAGAUGACAACAGAUAAUAAUAGGUAAUAUUUAUUCAUAUAAUCAUAACAAAUCAUAUAGACAAAUCAUAUAAAAAUGUAGGGAAUCUGAAAUAUGUAACCAAUAAAUCUGAGUAAAUAUAACUUAAUUUUAAUAACUUUAUAGAUAGCAAAUUUUUCAUGUGUUCACUUUACAUAUACAAAGUGAUUAUGUAUUAGAACACAAAAAAUACAUUUUAAAUUUUAAAUACAGAUAAUAUUUUGACAAAAUUAGUUGCUAGUAGAAAUUAGUGAAAAUAUAGGAAUAAAAAUUCCUUAAGCAACUGGAAUUUGAAAACACUUUCUUUACAAUUCUUAGGUGAGGAAAGGAAAUCAAAUUCAGUCAGAGAUAGCCAAAAAUAAUAUUAAUGGAAAGGCAACAUAUCCAAAUAUGGAAUGCUGCUAGAGAUUGCUAUAGAAAAUUUGUUAUUAAACUGAUUUAAACAUGUAUUAAUAAAUAUAAAGAAAUGAAAUUACUCAGAAUUCAAUUCACGAAGUUAGACUAGACAACAUAAAACAAAGGAUCAUGGGGAGAACAAAAUAAAGAUAAUACCAACAAAAACAAAAACAAAAUUUGUAAAUUAAUCCAAAAAAUAAUCCACCAGAAGUGAAAUAUGAUACUUUUUUUGCCAACCUAUGCAAGAAAAAAUGUAAAUUGCAAAAAAAAAAGUUUAGAAAUACGAUUUACAGGGGAAAAUCAUAGAUAUAGAAGAUACUCUGAAAAAUUUAAUUUUUAAGCAACUUUUAACAAUUCUAAAAAUGUGUUUGCAAGCAAAGGUCUAUUCAAAUACACUCAAAAAUGUGAAUUAAUUAAACAAUUUUAGAGAGAAUGUAAAUACCACUAAUGUUCUUGUCAUCCCAGGGUGCGCUUUAAUUUGUUUUACGUCUGUUUUAAGAAGGCUAAAAAUGCUUUUAGAGAAUUUCUUCUCUCUGAAAACACACAGGUACAGAUACACACACACACACAGACACACACACACACACAAAUCCCUGUUGAUUAAUAGAUAAAUAAUUAUUUUUAAAUUUUUUUUCCAAUUUUCAAAAUUAUAGAAAUCAAAUACUAAUGUAAUGUCUCCCCAAAAAAUUAAGCCGAAACUCUUCUCAAUUUAUCACACAUUUAGGUGGUACAUGUGAAUAUAUUUCACAUGCAUAGGAUGUAUAAUGAUCAAGUCAGAGUAUUUGAGGUGUGCAUCACCCUCAGUAUUUAUCAUUUCCAUGUUCUGGUAACAUUUCAAGUCCUCUCUUCUAGUUGCUUUGAAAUAUACAAUAUAUUGUUGCUAACUAUAGUCAACCUAGUCUGCAAUCUAACAUUAGAACUUAUUUCUUCUCUCUAUUGGUAAGUUUGUACCCAUUCACUAACCUCUCUUUAUUUUCCCCUCUUACCUUCAUACACUUUCCAGUGUCAUUCCACUGUAUCUCCAUGAGGUGAAACAUUUUAACUGUAAGAUGGGAAUUUUUAAGUGUUUGAAAAGCUAAAGAAGGCAAUGUCAAGGGAAGCUGCCACUAACCAUCACUGUUUAGCUAGUUAACACAUUGCAGAAACUACAGAAAAACACGAGGGAUGAGCACAGCUGCUGGAAUCUUUGAAACAAGUGAUUUUUGGGGAAUUUUCUGGAGACAGCUAUAGAAGAUCAAUAGUCCAAAUCGCUUGUUUAAAAGUUUAUAUUUUUCCAAAAAUGGUUGCAGUGAUAUCCCGUUUUCUCCGUACUUUUCUGCCAUGCUGCUUUCCACUACUACAAUAAGAUAUGGAAUUCUCUAUUACCAUUGUUAUGGACUGAAUAUUUGUUUCCCUGCAAAAUUUAAAUGCUGAAGCUCUAAACCCCAUUGCUAUGGUAUUUGGAAGCAAUUAUCUUUGAAUUAGGUUUGGAUGUGGUUUCUCUGAUGGAUGUGUUGAUAUUGACAUCUAUAUGAUUAAGAUGAAAUAUAUUAAUGUAGCUAGAAUUCAGAAUAAAGCUAAUUACAUUUCAAGAAGUAAGAAGAAACAAAACACCUCCCAUUUGUUACUCAUUAUUAGGCCUAUAUUAUUCAAAUGAUUUUCACAAAUGUUCUGAAAAUAAACGUACCAGAAAGAAAAGCUUUAUCAUCCACAGUGAUCUCCUACACUAUCUUGUUUCCCCUGUUCUCUCUCUGAACUACCUCUUUCUGUAGGUCUAAACUGGAAUAGUUAGUGCCAUUAUUAUGACUGGCCUUCCUUUUUUAAAUAUUCAUCCAGUUCAGUGUGAUAAGGUUGCAAUAUUUCUAGAACUUAUUUUAAGAGAAAUAAGCAUUAUUUAAUAAUUUAGAAAUGUAUCUGUAAUUUGCUAACAUAAAGACAGACUUUGUAAAUGUAAGGUACUAAGCUUUCUGUUUGUGACCCAAAUGUCUCUUUGUUGAUAUAAAUACUAUAUAUAAUGUAACAUAUAGUAUAUAUAUAAAAUAUAUAUACUAUAUAUUAUAUUAUAUAUUAUAUAUACUGUAUAUGUUAUAUAUAAUAUAAUACUAUAUAUAUAAUGUAAUAUAUAGUAUAUAUAUAAAUAUAUACUAUAUAUAUAUAUUUUUUCUUUUUUCCAAGAUGGAGUCUUGCUCUGUCACCCAGGCCGGAGGGCUGGAGUGCAGUGGCAUGAUCUUGGCUCACUGCAACCUCCGCCUCCCAGGUUCACGCCAUUCUCCUGCCUCAGCCUCCCGAGUAGCUGGGAUUACAGGUGUGUGCCACCACGCUCAGCUAAGUUUUUUGUUUUUUUAGUAGAGAUUGGUUUCACCAUGUUGGCCAGGUUGGUCUCAAACUCCUGACCUCGUGAUCCACCCACCUUGGCCUCCCAAAGUGCUGGGAUUACAGACAUGAGCCACCUCAUCCGGCCAGUUGAUAAAUAUAUUAAAACUUGUAUUCAUGUUUAAGUUGAGAUCAGUCCUGACAUGUUUUCUGAGAGAAUGUUUAUUCCUAUCUAGAAUAUAUUUUUUAUCCUUCUCUUAGACUAUGAAUCUCCUCUACUUGAUUUAUUCUCAAUGUUACUUUGAGUUUUUAAAAAACAAAAUUAACAAAGUUUGUUUGCCAGUGGCUGCAUUUAGAUAGUCAAUUGUUUUACUAUUUGGAAUCCCUAGCUUACUUGCCUUUAGGUCUCUGGUCCUAUAAAGAAUUAAAACAGAAGGCUCCUGAUUAAUUUGAAAGGCAAAUGCUUGUCAUUGAUAUAUGGCUACAGACACUUUUUUAGCUCCUGAAGAUAUCUCUUACUUUCUUUUGAGUUUGGCUAUGUAUGUAAACAACAUUUGCUAUAUUACCUCUAGCAUUUCGAAGUUUUGAGUUGAGAGGAUUUUCAGGACAUUUGACCUGUCAUAAGGCAGAAAUAGAGUCUUCAAUUAAUGUUUUAUUAAUUUGCUCAAACACAUCAAAUUGAGUUGCUAUUGUGUUAGGAAUACCUUUAGCACUAUGAUUCAGCCAUGAUGAAAACAGACAAAAAUCUCUGCCCUCUUAAAAUAUGCAAUCCAGUGGGGGUGAUAAAUAUGAAAAAAAAAAAAAACGUACACAUAAGAAUACUUGGGCAUUCUGGUGGGACUUCUGGGUGGAGUGAUCAGAAUGUGCAAAGGCCCUGUGAACAGAGUGUGUCUGGCAUGUUUAAGGCCCAUCUAGUUUUCUAGAGCAAGCAAGAGGUGAGUUCAGAGAAGACCUGGGGUGAAUAGGGUUAUGACCAUGCAUAACCUUAGAGAUUAUUUUAAUGACUUGGACUUUUGCUCUAUGAUGCAGAGCUAUUCAGGGGAUUUAUGCAGAGAAAUGACAUGAUCUGACUUCAGUUUUAGCAAGAUCACUUUUAAGAAUAGCUAUGAUAUGACAUUGCCUUAUGUAUUAGUGAACUUAAGACCAUUUGACAUGAAUACCAAAAGUAUAGGUUUGGAGGUCACAUUAAUUGACUACUGUUGACAACUAAAUUGGAUAAUUUGACUUCCAACAUAGAAAUUUUGGCUUCAGUUUUUCUAAAUUAGAUGUACAUUUUUAUUAAUUUAAUUUUGUUUCUCCAAGCUUCUAAUGUACAUUUUGUGAUUACUAUCUGAGUCCUUGGUCUCUCCAGUUCUCCAAAAUUGAGUGUAGGUCAAGUAAGAAGCAAUAAAAAUGAGAUCUCUAUGUAAAAGUAAAUCUGUACUAGAUUUCAAAGAUGGAUUCUAUAAGCAAAACCAAUUAAAACUGUGUUUUACAAAUCAGGAUUCAAAAUGUUUUAGUAACUCUAUCUUUCAUAAAAUCUUUAUUCCUAAAUUCUGUCAAAGUACAAUUCAAAAUACAGUAAUCCAAUGUCUGGAAUAAAAGCUAAAUGAGGGAAAAAUGGCAUACAAAGGAACUAGAAAAUGCUGCAUCAUUUUAAUUUGCUUUUACAACCUUCCACAAUGACCUUUCCUUGAAUAUGGCAGCAUAUUCUAGCAAACAACUAAAUUUUACUAAAAUCAAUAAAAUGACCUACCUCUAACUUUUAAAGCAGCAAGACAAAUGUCAUAUUUUAUAUUUAUAUUCAAUUACCCGUACCUAAAAAUAUAAGAUGUGGAGUUUAAAUUUGACCAUUAUGACCUCCAUAAUGCAAUUUUGCACAACCCCAUCUUAAGAUAUUAUCUCAGAUUUCUUGCUGGAAACCAAAGGAUUAUCAGAAAGAAGCUUAAAUAAUUAUGGGAAUGGGAAGAAAAAAAUUAAUAAAAACCUAUAAAGGUAGCACUUGAAAGCAUAAAAUUCAGACUCUGGAAGAAAAUAAGUGCUCAAAAAUUAUUUGAACAUAAUUUUAACUAAUUUCUCUAAGAAUCAGAUAAACAUCUAUAGGGUAAUCUAUUAAUAUAUUAAUUUUGUGUAUUACCUAUAUCACCCAUGUUAUAAGACAUUUUAUAACUCAUUGUCUUAGAGAAUUUUGCUGUUCAAAAAGCAGAAUUUAUUUCAAAAUAUUUUCAUUUCUGAGUUUCAUUUUUCUAGAGCUUGAGUCCUUGCAUGGAUUGUGCUAGGAGUACCACAAGGAAGACAAAGGGCAGAGUACCUCUAAGAAGCAGAGAGGUAGAGGUAAGAUUCAUUCAGCCUCAAGAGGGUAGAUCUGUCUGUCCCCUCUUGGGACCAGCACCUGCAAAGGUAGGACACCAAGAAGCCUAGACAUUAGUUUAGGGGUUUCCAGGGUCACUAAAGAUGGGGUGUUCCUUGUAGUGGUCCAGAGAAAGCAAACACAUUGUAUUGAAUAUUCUUGGCAAUUGAGCCCCCAUUAGAGGAGUUUCCUUCAUACCUUAGUGACUUUUAUACAACUGUAGGGUAGCAGAAAUCCCAAUGAUAACUAAAAUUUAAUGCCCAUUGAUUUAUAUAAGAUGUUAACUUCGAUUCCUUUCAAGUAGAUGAACUAACUUGAGCUGAUUUUUUCACAAUUAAUUCUGAAAAAUUUGGGAAGGAGAGUAAAGCAUGGAACCCAGUAACUACCACAGUCAACUAGAUAAAACAGAAAGAAAUCUUUUCAGGUGACCAAAGGUGCCUUACAAUCAUGGUGGAAGAAGAAGCAAACUCAUCCUUCUUUACAUGGUGACAGGAGAGAGAAGUGCAGAGUGAAGGAGGGGAAAAGCCCCUUAUAAAGUGAUCAGAUCUUGUGAGAACUCACUCACUGUCAUGAGAACAGCAUGGAGGUAAUCGCCCCCAUGAUUCUAUUACCUUCCACUAGGUCCUCCUGUGACACGUGGGGAUUAUGGGAACUACAGUUCAACAUGAGAUUUGGGUGGGAACACAGCAAACCAUAUAACACUCAUAAUGUCCAGGCUGAUAGUCAAAUCAAGCACACAAUCCCCUUUACAAUAGCCACAAGUAAAAUCAAAUACCUAGGAAUACAGCUAACCAAGAAAGUAAAAGGUCUCAACGAGAGAUCAGUAUCAUUAACAUGGUCAUACUAUCCAAAGCAAUCUACAAAUUUAACAGUAUGCUUAUCAAACUACCAACAUCAUACUUCACAGAAUUAGAAAAAAAAUUCUAAAAUUCACAUCGAACUAAAAAAAAAGAGCCCAAAUAUUCAAAGCAAUCUGUGUAGUCCAUUUUCUCAUUGCUAUAAACGAAUACUUGAGACUGGGUAAUUUAUAAUGAAAAUAAAUAUAAUUAGUUCAUGGUUCCACAGGCUAUACAGAAAGCAUGAUGCUGGCAUCUGCUUGACUUCUAGGGAGGCCUUAAGAAACUUACAAUCAUGGUGGAAAACAAAGUGGGGGCAGGUACUUCAUAUAGCAGGAGCAAGAGUAAGGGGAGGAGGUGCUGCACACUUUUAAACAACCAGAUCUCAUGAGAACUCACUCUCACAAUCAUAACACAGUACCAAAGAGAUGGUUGGUGUUAAACCACUGAUUAGCAAUCUGCCCCCAUGAUCUAAUUACCCUCCACCAGGCCCCACCUCCAACUUUGGGGAUUACAAUUUGAAGUGAGGUUUGGUGGGAACACAAAUCCAAACCAGAUUUUUCCACCCCUGGUCCCCUAAAUCUUACGUUCCACUCACAUUGCAAAAUAUAAUCAUGCCUUCUCAAUAGUCCUCUAAUCUUAAUACAUCUCAACAUUAACUCAAAAGUCCAAAUUCAAGUCUCAUCUUAGACAAGGCUAGUUUAUUCAACCUAUGAGCCUGUAAAAAUCCAAAAAAAAUGUUUGUUACUUUCAAGAUACAAUGGGGGUACAAGCGCUGGGUAUACAUUCUCAUUCCAAAAGGGAGAAAUUAGCCCAAAGAAAGGAGCUACAGGCCCCAUGCAAAUCCAAAACCCAGCAGGGCAGCUAUUAAAUCUUAAAGCUCCAAAAUAAUCUCCUUUGACUCUGUGUCCCACAUCUAAACCAUACUGGUGCAAAGGUUUUGCUCCCAAAAACUUGGGCAACUCCACCUCUGGGCUCUGCAGGAUUCUGUCCCCUCAGCUACUAUCAAGGGCUGGUGUUGAGUGCCUGCAGCUUUUCCAAGCUCAGUGUGCAAGCUGCCAGUGGAUAUACCAUUCUGUGGUCUGGAGGAAAGUGGUCCUCUUCUUACAGCUCCACUAGGCAGUGCCCCAGAGGGGACUCUAAAGCAGCUCUAACUUCACAUUUCCCCUCCAUGCUGCCCUAGUAGAGGUUCUCCAUGAGGGCUUUGCCCUUGUAGCAGGCUUCUGCCUGGACAUACAGGCUUUCCCAUAUAUCCUCUGAAAUCUAGGCAGAGGCUCUCAAGCCUCAACUCUUGCACUCUGUACACCUACAGGCUUAACACCAUGUGGAAGCAGCCAAGGCUUACAGCUUGCAUCUGAACCAGCAACCUGAAGUGUACCUGGUGAUCUUUUUAGCUACAGCUGAUGCUAGAGCAGCUGGGAUGCCAUGAGCAGUGUCUUUGGGCUUUGUAGGGUAGCAGGGCUCUGGGCCUGGCCCAGGAAACCAUUCUUCUUUCCUAGGCCUCUGGGCCUGUGAUGGGAGGCACUGCCUCAAAGGUCUCUGAAAUGCCCUCAAGGCCUUUUCUUCAUUAUCUUGGCUAUUAGUACUUGGUUCCUUCUUACUUAUGGAAAUUUCUGCAGCCUGCUUGAAUUUCUCCCCAGAAAAUGGGCUUUCUUUUCUACCACAUAGCCAGGCUGAAAAUUUUCCAAACUUUUACACUCUGCUUCCCCUUUAAUUAUAAGCUCCAACUUUAGGUCAUUUCUCUUCUCAUGCAUAUGAGCAUAGGUUGUUAGAAGCAUCCAGGUCAAUAUUGAGCACUUCGCUGCUUAGAAAUUUCUUCUGCCAGAUUCUCUUAAUCAUCACUCUCAAGUUCAAGGUUCCACAGGUCCCUAGGGUAGUGGCACAAUACAGCCAAGCCCUUUCCUAAAGCAUAACAAAAGUGACCUUUGCUGCCAUUCUCAAUAAUUGCCUCAUUUCACUCUGAGACCUCCUCGGCCUGGACUUCACUGUCCACAUCACUAUCAGCAUUUUGGUCAUAAUCAUUUAACUAGUCUCUAAGAUGUUCCAAAUUUUCCCUUAUCUUCCCCUCUCUUCUUCUGAACUCUUCAAACUCUUCCAAUCCUCCCUGUUACCCAAUUCCAAAGCUGCUUCCACAUUUUCAGGUAUCUUAAUAGCAAUACCCAUCCCUAGUAACAGUUUUCUAUGUUAAUCUGCUCGCUCAUUGCUAUCAAAAAAUACUUGAGACUGGACAAUUUAUAAUGAUCCUCUCUUUGGAUCCUCAAAGACCUUUGGAAGUUUGAUUUCUGUGUUUCUUUGUGUAGUCUUAUUUGGUUUGAAUCCAUUUGGUAUUCUCUGACCCCCAUUUACCUUGGUAUUUUUAUCCUUCUUAAGUUGGGGGAAGGUUCCUAUUAUUAUAUCUUUGAAUAAGCUUUGUACCCCUUGUUCUUGCCUAAGUCCAUCUUGAGUACUAAGAAUUCUUAGAUCUGGUCUUUUGAGGUAAUUUUCUAUAUCUUUUAGGUGAUUCUUGUUCCUUUUUCUUUUUUCUCCUCUGUAAAAAAAGCCUGUGUCAAGCUCACUGAGUCUUCUUUCUGCUUGAUUUGUUCUGCUAUUGAGAGUCUCUAAUAAAUUUUUCAAUUCAGUAAAUGUAUUUUUCAGUUCUGGGAUUUUUGUUUAAUAUUUAAAAUUAUUUUAAUCUAUUUUUUAAAUUUCAUAGAUAAAUUUAUGAAUUGGUUUUCUGUGUUAUCUUGGAGAUACUGUGUUUCCUUAAGACUUCUAUUUUGAAUUCUUGGUGAGAGAGUUUACAUACCUUUGUCUUGUUCGAGUCUAUCACUGGUUUCUUGCUUUGUCCAUUUGGGGAGGUCACGGUUCCCUGUUCGCUACUAUGAAUGUAUAUGUUUCAUAUGAACGUAUCUGUAUGACUUUGCAUUGAAUGAUUAGUUAUUUAUUCCAUUCUUCUCUGUCUUGUUUUGGUUUUUAUUGGGUAUGUUUGCUUAGAUAUUGUUUGUAAUUUACCUGUUGAUUUUCUUUCUUUUUUUUUUAAAUUCCAUUGGUUCACUGCCUCCUUUUUGGCACUAGAUGGCUACUGAAGCCUUGCCUCUAGCAAAUGAUUAGAGUACUGCUCAUACUGAAUGGGGGUCUUCCCAAGGUGGAUAUUCCUAGCAGUGUGGGGAGGCUAGCUAUAGAUUUGUGCCAAAAGGACCUGUGGAACGUACCUCCUAUAGCAAGUAGCUGCUGAACAGUCAAUGACAUUUGGCAUCUCCUUUGGAAGAGUUGCAGAGCACAGUUUCUAGGACUAGGGUUGGUAGUGCCACUUGCCUCCUCUGUCUUAGGCUGUCAUCAGGAACAUUACUCCAUUCAGGCACUGGCAAUUCUUCCCAUAGAGUCAGGCAGGAACAGGGCUCCUGCCAGGGAACCCAUGAUGGUGGGGAAGCUAGUUUUCCACCUCAGUUGUGCUUUUUCCAGUGCAGAAACCAUGAGUUGGGAGAAAUUUUUCUAUGUACUUCAUGCUGGGCUUGUUGAGAAAAGGGUUGUUGUGGAUAGGAAAGUCUUGUUUUCUGACAAGCUAUUUGAAGAUUGUUUACUUCUCUGUAGCUCUGGGAAAUGGUGCACUCUCCUAUUUGAAUUCUGAGAUAUUGCUGGUGAUAAUUCCAUCACUGUACAUUUGGUUUUGGAUUUCUGUGUGAGAGGGUAGAGCCAGCUUGCUUCUAAGCUCUGAUUGUGGAACAAGACUCCCCACCUUUUUUAGCUACUUUGAAUAAAGCUGCUAUGAACAUGAAGGUACAAAUACUUAUUUGAGUUCCUGCUUUCAGUUCCUUAAAGCAUAUACCCAGAAGUUGAAUUCCUAGAUUAUAUGGUAAUUGUAUUUUUGAUUUUACAAGGAAUUGCCACAUUGUUUUCCACAGUGACUGCAAUAUUUUACAUUCCCACCAGCAAUGUAUAUGGUUCCAAUUUCUCCAUAUCCUUGCCAAAAACUGUAACCUGUUUUGUUUUGUUUAAUACUAGCCAUUCUAAUAGGUAUGAGGUGGCAGCAUUACUUUUAAAAAGUAAAUUUUUAUCUCUCUCAUUUGGUAUACUUAUCUAUCAUAUUUUGAAUUUCUGUAGGAUUUGAGUCCAUUUCGGAACUUUCCUUUUUUUUCUAUUGAUCUGUCUAUUCAUUGGCCAGUUACCACUUUAUUUAUUGAGGCUGGUAGUAUGGGUCAUUGUUUGAUAGGGCUAGUCUUUUCUCACUAAUGUUCUUUUCCCAAGUUUUCCUGAUUAUUUAACUUCUAAUAUAAACUUCAGAAUCAGCUUUUAUAAUUUAAAAAAGUUGGCAUUUUUACUGAAUUUUAAAAAGAAGUUAUCUUGGGAAGAAUAUGCACUUUGCAGAAGCUGAUUGUUCUUAAGGUAAUGAUAUAGCUUUCUAUUGAUUUAUAUCUACCAUUAUGUCCAACAUAAAUAUUAUAAAGAUUUUUUUCAAAGAAGUCUUACAUAUUUCUUGUAAAUUCACUCCUAGGUGUUUUGACUUCUUGGAUUGCCAUUGUAAAUAUUGGAAUGCCUUCUGUUAUAUCUUCUGACUGGUUUUUGAGUGUAUACAAAUAUAUAUAUAUACACAUAUAUUAUAUAUAUUAUAUAAACAUACACACAUAUACAUUCAUACACCUAUAUAAAAUUAUGUUAACAAAUGCAUAUGUAAUUUAUGUAUAAAUAUUAAGGAAAUAUUUGUUAAUAUUUUAAAUGUUUUUUUCUCUAGAGUGGGUAUUGAAUGUUUAUUAAGUGCAUUUUUAUUCGAUAUGAGGCAAAUUAUAAAAUUUUCUAUUUCACUGCAUUAAAUAUAAAAAUAUAUUAUUAAGCAUUUCAAUUAUGAAACAUCUUCGCAUUUCUAAAAAAUCCACAUACCAUGGUAUUUUAUUAUACAAUGUGAUGUUGAAUUCUAUUAAUAUAUGCAAAUAUCUAACAGAAUUUUUGCAUAAAUUGAUCUAUAGUUUAUUUUAGAAAUUUUGAUAUCAAUGUAUUUGUAUUAUAAAAGCAAUCUCGGAGUUGGGAUUUUAAUUUAUUUUUUACUUUUUUAUACUCUGAGAAGGCUUAGCAAACAUCAAAAUCUUAUCUUUGUAAGUUUAGUAGAAGUGGCUGUGGAAGCAUGAGAAUCCAGUUCUUUAGAAGAAAGAGAUUUAGCUCUUUUGCAACUUUCCCUUUCUCUAUUGCAGAAAUUAUAAGUUUUAAUCUGUUUUAUAAAACAAAGUCUGUUUUAAUGAAUUCCAUUUUUUCUCAAAAAUUAUCCAUUUCAUUCAAGAUAUUUUUACAGAUUUGUGCAAAGUGGUGUUUUAUUAUUAUAAAUUUUUAUCUCAGUUUCUGUGAUUGUUUUCCCCAUUGGUCACUUCUAUUGUGCUGUGAGUACCUUUAUUUAUUCCUUAGUUAAAUCAGCUAAUGAUUUAACUAUUUUACUGACUUCCAAAGAAUAAAGCUUUAAAAAUUUGUUCUAUCAUUUUUCUAAUAAUAUUUUUAUAAAAUAUUUUGUUUAGUAUAUUUUGUUUUUUAACAUUUCAAAAUCAGAUGCUUAAUUUACAUAUGUAUGGAUAACAUCAAGUUUAAUUUGUAACAAUACAUAAGAAAAUUUAAUAUUAUGAAUGUUCCCAUUAGUAUUAUUUCAUCUGUACUUUCAUUUGUACUUACAUGCAAAUCUUAUGAUAUUAAUUGAACCUCUCCUGUAUCAAGAAUUUCUUAAGAUAAAGUUUUAAAAUCCCUUGUCAGGGAAACUAUUUUUUCUAACUUUUAAAACUUUAAUUUCUAUUUUUAUUAAGCUGUGAUCCAAGAAUAUUGUAUUUAUUAUUUUUAUUUAUUUGGAAUUUGUUAAAGUUGGCUUGUGUGUUUUUUUUUUUCAUAGUUGGUCCAUUUUAUGUACGUUUUAUGGGCAGAUAAAAAGAAGGUAUAGGCUUUACGCCUGUAGUCCCAGCACUUUGGGAGGCCGAAGCUGGUGGAUCACGAGGUCAGGAGAUCGAGACCAUCCUGGCUAACACGGUGAAACCCCGUCUCUACUAAAAAUACAAAAAAUUAGCCGGGCGCGGAGUCAGGCGCCUGUAGUCCCAGCUACUGGGGAGGCUGAGGCAGGAGAAUGGCGUGAACCUGGGAGGCGGAGCUUGCAGUGAGCUGAGAUCGCUCCACUGCACUCCAGCCUGGGAGACAGAGCGAGACUCCAUUUCAAAAAAAAAAAAAAAGUAAAAUAUUAAAUAUAUAUUCCUCAGAUUUAUCAUAUUGAUUUGAAUGUGUAAGUAUUUGAUAAUCUUUUUUUGUUCAUUUGAUCUGUCUUGGAACGUGACAGACUCAAACCUUCUAAUAUUAGUGUUGUGUAAUUUUUUUUUAUCUCUUGUAAUUUCUGCUUAAUAAAAAUUAUUGUUAAAUUACUUGGCAUAAAGAUAAUUACAAAUGUUACAUUUAUAUUAUGAAUCUUACCUUUUGGUAUAAUAAUUUGUGUUUUUCUUAUGUAAUGAGUUGUAGCCAAAAUUUUACCGUGUCUGGUAGAGAAAGACCUCUGCUUCGUUUUACUCCAUUUUACUGAAAUACAGCUGUCCAAAAUUUUAUUUUAGCAUUUUGAAAUAAUUUUGUUUACUGUGACACUUGUAUAAACAACACAGUUGUCACUUGCUUUGUGAUACAAUAUGAAAUAUUUUUAUUUUAAUAGGUUAAUUAAACCUAUUUACAGGUAUUGAAUCACAUUUCAUUGGCUUUCUCUCUCUCACACAUUAUAUAAUUUAUAAUUUUUUUACAGUUUUAAGAUUUUCAUUGUCUUGUCUGCUUACAUUGCUUUGUGUGUGUGUGUAUGCUUGGCUUCUUUCUUGGUGGUAACCAUAAUAUUUUUAUUGAAUGGAAUCUUAGCAUCUUUUUAAUUUAGACAAUUAAUUUAGAUAAUUAGAUAUUUAAUUUAGAUAAUUCUUAUUUAUUCCCCACUACAAGCAAAAAUAAAAUUUUUGUCUCCUUUUCUUUUAUUACCCAAUUUUAUUCAAUAAUGUUAUUCAUUCUAUUGCACUCUAAAUUUCUACUGCUGUAUUUAUUAGGUUUAAUUGAUGCUGUUUGACUGUUAUUAAAGAUUUAGAAAUUAACUGUACAAUUUGACUUAGCCUGUCUUCCUUUGUUUUUAUUUCUUCUUUGUGGAAAUAUAGAACAUUAGGGUGGGGCAAAAGUAAUUGCAGCUUUUGCAAUUACUGUUAUUUUAUUUUGUCACUCUUAAGCUUUACUUGUUCUUGUAUUUCAGCUUAAAUACUCAAUGCUCUGCAGCAUUUUUACAUUUUUUGCUGAGGUUUCCUCAAAACAUCUGUUCAGCUGAAUUUUGUUUGAAACCUUUUCCAGAAGAACCUAUAUCAACAAUAUUUCCUUAGUCCUCCCUCUCCUCCUCCCUUUGGACUUUAUACCUGAAGUACAUUAAAUAAGUUGAGGAAGAAAGAAGAGCAAUGGAAGUGAGAAUGUGAAUAAGAAUACCUACAAUAAUAAUGUGACAUAAGCUGUAGUUAGAAAAGUAUUAAAUGCUACACUUGAUAAACACCUGAAUUUUGGACAUGAAAUUCAUACGCACUAAAUAUCAUCAUUCUAGACAAUCUUUUAGGAUCCAGGGAUGAAGUAAAACUGUCUAUGUUAAUCUAUUUUAAAUGAUGCUACUCUAUGAGUUGUAAUUACAGGCUGUUUAUUCAUUCAACUAUUUACUCUGCAACAACGUAUGCCAAGCACGGUUCUUUGUGCAAAGAAAAUAGACAACAAUUUUCGUCCAUCUGGAGCUUACGGUUUCGUUAGUUCGAAGUAUUUGUGCUUCAGAAUAUAUCUUAACCUAAUCUUUGGACAUUCUGUUUUUCUGAGUCUGUGAUAGGCACUGAAUUUUAACAAAAUUUGUUUAUAUUUCUGCAACGUCUUUUAGUUAUAGAGAACUACAUAUGUCAUUAUUUGGCUCACUAAGUACUGUGUUUAAAAGAACAAUAAUGUCAAUUGUGUUUAUCAGGAAAUAUAUCAGUCAAUAACUAAAAUAUAGUUUACAAAUAAUGAUUAAGAUUCAUAAGAACCAUAAAUAUUGGAGCUAGCUUACCUGAAUUAGCCAAGAAUUUAAUUAACUCUAAUUCCUUACAGCUCUUAGGUAUUUUAUGUAGUAACAUGUUCUUUUGCCUUCAAAAGGCAAAGGAACAUUGUUUUUAAGUUGAAUUGGAGAUUAAGCAGACUUGUUUUACAUGAAAAUGUUCAAAUUCUAUUUAUAUAUUCUACAACAGCACUUUAUGUACAUCUGUAUCUUAGUUCUUGCUAUAUGCUACUGAAAUUGUCUAUUUCUGAGCCCAAUUCCCCAUCUGGAAUAUAAACUCUUUCAUGGAUACGGAUGUAUUAUCCCUUCAUCUUUAUAUCUACUAUGCUCAUUAAAGGAUCUGGCACAUCAUAAGACCUUUAGUAUAUGUUUUCUGCCUUGAAUUACACCUUGCCCUGCAGGAUAGAAGCUGUGAUCAUACUCGAUUUGCUAUUCGAAUGCUUAUAUAAAUAAUAGAAUACUUCCUGCCUGUGUCUACCUCAGUUUUUUUCUCCAAGAAAAUAGGAGUGAUUUGCUUAUAUUUCCAGCUGUGGAUGGCCAGAUUUACAUGGUAGAGAGGGAACUAGGUCACAGAAACCACUUAGGUUAUCUACAGGGAGACCUGCAUCUCAGCACCGAUAAAUGUUGCCCCUUGGUGAGAUGCUUUCUAGCACCCUACUCAGUGUGUUGCACAUAAGGAGUGGAUUCAGUGGCUACUCUCUCCUGAUUCUCAGCCCUCUGGUUUUUCUGUGUGUCAGCCUCAUACAGAAUGCUUUCCUUAAAUUGUCUCCCCUGAGCUUCAUACAAUUUAGUCGUGUCCUAAAUAACUAAGAAGUGGAAAAUGGAUGCACAGGAAUUGGCAUUUUCUGCCAGGCAACUGGAAACAGUGUGCCAUCAAGUUGUGAAACCAAAUUGAAAGUCGGUGUGGAUAAUGUAAAGUCACAGGAAGCUAGAGGUCAAGCAGAGAACAAGUCCAAAUGUGCUCACUCCUGAAGGCCAGAAGCCUACAAACCUACAGAAUUCUAGGAUCCGACAGGUAGAAAGGACUUCAAAAGUCAGCUAGUAACUUCUAGUUUCCAUAGAACAAUCCCUUCUGCACUGCCAGAGCAAAAGGCCAUCCAGGCCUUUCUGGAGCACGUUCAUUGAAGGAAGAAAAUGUAGGCUGUAGUAUCUCUUAUCUUUAGAAUAUAACUCACCAAAUCUAUGUGUAGUAACUGAAGCCAAAGAGAUCAUAUGUGUAUUAACAUUACAUUUUGAGGGGUAGACAAAAAUGAAAUCUAUUUCAAUAUACAAAGGCAAAAAAUUAUUGAGGCAAUGACCAAAUUAGAUGAAUUAAAAUAUACAGCUUUACCUGAAAUACAUGUACUAUUUAAUGCCUAAUACUGGGAGAAUUAAUCACACUUUCUGUUUUCUUUCUAAAACAACAUUAGAAAUAAAAACAAUUCUUCCUUACUUCUAAAACUCCAUCUUGCAUUAUACUUUUUUAAAAACUGACACACAGUAAGAAAUACAUUUUUUAUCACAUCCUGAUACAAUACACACAUACAGCUGAGAUGAAAACAAAAGCAUCCCAGAAUAAUAUUUGCCCCAAAUAUUGACAUCACCUGAUGUUUUCCAUUAUUUUCUAUUCUAUUCUACUUUUUUGUUGUUCUUUCAUAUCUUCAAAACCUUAAUUCUUGUUCACAUUAAGUGUACAUUCUAAGUCAGCUGUGACUCUGCUACAUACUGUCUUCAAUAAGAACCUAGCUGAUGGAAUAGGUUCUAUGUUAAACAUUAUUCUUUCUUGUGGCACAAAAAAAUGAGAGGUCAUGGAAAGACUAUAUGCCAAUAACUUAAGUCUUUUGUUCAGAAAUGAAACACAUCAUUCUACCUACAUACCAUUCGCCAAAGCAAACCACAUGUCUAAGUGUGAUGUUAUUGAGUUGGGGAAACAUAAUUCAUCUUCAGUGAUGAAUCACAAAUAUUUGUGAAAAAUGGUGCAGCCUAACUCAGUGCUUUAACAUACAUACAUAAUUUAAUAUAAGUAUUAAAGCCAUGCUGAUAUUAAGUUUGAUUCUCCCUAUUUAAAUGAUAAAAAAUGAGGCUCAUUGACCAUAGAACUAUUAAAUGACAUAGCCUAUAUUCAGAGCAGUUCUAAGAUAUAUAUAGCCCAUUUUCAUAACGUAUCCUGCAUAUGUUUUUAAUCAGAUCCCAAUAGACUAAGUUUUUUUUUUCAAAGAUCUCUUAAAAACUAAUUGUGGUACUAAAAACAUAAACAUGAUUUUCUUAUCCUGUUAUUUAAAAACAUUUAUUGUCACAAUCACUUGUAAAGGACUCAGGUCUACAAUUUGGAAAAUACCAUUCUAUGGAAGUUCAAAGAGAUUCAGAAUAUAGAGAAACAUCUUUGUUUUUCAUAAUGACUGAUUCUCAGAAAAAUAAUAUUGAAUUGAGAAACUAAUAUUACAGAGCCAUGAGAUACUAGAAGUGCUGGAACUAACACUGAAAUAAAUUCUACAGACAAAUGGUAGUUAAAUCUUAUCUCAGAAAAAGACUUGUCUAAAUUAAAGCCAAUUUUUAUGCAAGAUACCUGUCUGUAAAUAUUCAUGAUGGAAAAGUAGAAUUAAAAAAUCCCUGCUAAAAUAAAUUGUUAGCAAUUUUCUGUUUUCCUGCAUUUUUAUUAGAAGACACCUUUGAAUAAUAAUAAUUCGUAGCCCUCUAUGAACACUUACAAUGGGUGAAGCCCUGUUCUAACUGCUUUCCAUAUUUUAUUGUAAUUAAUCUACACAACAACUUAUGAGGCAAAGACUGUUGUCUCCAUUUGACAAAUAGAAGAACAGAAAGGGAAAGAUUAAUGUGCUUAUGAUCACUCGGCCACUGAAUAGCAGAGCCAGGGUCACACCCACACACUCAGGCUCUAGAGAUUAUGUUCUUUUUAAAAAUAUUGUGAUAAUGCACCACAUAAUAUAAAAUUUACUGUUUUAAUCAUUUUGAAGUGUACAGUCAGUGGCAUUAAGUAUACUCACAUUAUUGUGCAACCAUAACCAUCUAUCUCCAGAACUCUUUUCACCUUACAAAACUGAAAUUCUCUAUCUGUUAAAUAACUCCUUAUUCUCUCUUACCUCCAGCCCCUUUCUGCUGAAAUACCAUUCUACUUUCUAUCUCUAUAAACUGGAUUAUUCUAGAUACCUCAUUUAAGAGGAAUUAUACAAUAUUUGUUAUUUUGUGACUAGCUAAUUUCACAUAGCAUAAUGUCUUCAAGGUUCAUCCAUGUUGUAGCAUAUUUCAGAACUGCCUUCCUUUAGAAGGUUGCAUAAUAUUCAUUAUAUAUAUAUAAAUGUGAUAUAUAUAUAUAUUUGCCCCAAAUAUUGACAAAUAUAAUAUUUGCCCCAAAUAUUGACAUCACCUGAUGUUUUCCAUUAUUUUCUAUUCUAUUCUACUUUUUUGUUGUUCUUUCAUAUCUUCAAAACCUUAAUUCUUGUUAACAUUAAGUGUACAUUCUAAGUCAGCUGUGACUCUGCUACAUACUGUCUUCAAUAAGACCCUAGUGUGUAUAUAUAUAUAUACCACAUUUUGUUUAUCUAUUUAUCCAUCAAUAAUACUUGAGUUUCUUCCAAUUUUGGCUAUUGUACAUAAUGUUUCUAUGAACAUGGGUGUACAAAUAUCUCUUAAGAUUGCUGCUUACAAUUCUUUUGGGUAUCGGAAUUGCUGGAUCAUACGGUCAUUCUGUUUUUAAUUUUUGAGGAACUGCCAUACUGUUUUCUAUAGCAGAUGCACAAUUUGACAUGUCUACAAUAGUGUCCAAGGUUGUCAAAUUCUCCUAAUCCUCACCAAAACUGCCUAUAUUUUGUUUGCUUUUUAAACUAAUAGUCAUUCUAAUGUAUAUAAAUUGGUAUCUCAUUAUGGUUUUGAUUGCAUUUCCCUAAUGAUUAUUGAUGUUGAGUAUCUUUUUUAUGUAUCUGAUGUGUUCAUGAAUUUGCUUUGCAUCUGUGCUUAAUGGCCAUUUGCAUAGCUUCAUUAGAGAAACUCCUAUUUAAGUUAUAUGCCCAUUUUUAAUAGGAUUAUUAGCUUUUUGUUGUUGAGUUUCAUGAAUUCUUUUUGUACUGUGGAUAUUAAUUCCUUAUCAGAUAUGUGAUUUGUAAAUAUUUUCUCCCAUUCUAUGGGUUGUCUUUUUACUCUGUUGAUAAUGUCUUUUGGCAUACAAAAUCUCUAAAUUUUGGUGUCCAAUUUGUCUAUUUUUCCAUUUGUUGCAACCUGUGUUUUAGGUGUUAUAUAUCGAAACAUUGCCAGAUCCAGUGUCAUGAAACUUUUUAAUUAUUUUGCCUUAAGCCUUUCUUCUAUGAGUUGUUAUAAAUUUGGCCCUUACAUUUAGGUUUUUGUUCAAUUUUGAGUUAAUUUUUGUAUGUGGUGUUAGGUAAGGGACCAACUUUAUUCUUUUGCAUGUUGAUGUCCAGAUAUCCCAAAACCAUUUGUUGAAAAGAUUGUCUGCUCUCCAUUGUGUGGACUUGGUACCUUUAUCAAAAAUAAUUUGAUCACACAUACAAGGGUUUAUUUCUGGAUUUUCCGUUCUAUUCCAUUGGUCUAUAUGUCUGUCUUUAUGCCAGUACCACAUUAUUUUGUUUACUGUGGCUUUGUAGUAACUUUUGAAACAAGAAGUCUGAGACUCCAACUUUAUGCUUCUUUUCCAAGAUUGUUUUGACUAUUUUGGUUUUCCUGAGAUUCCACGUGAACUUUAAGAUUGAUUUGUUUAUUUCUGAAAACAAAAACAAAAACAAAAACACUGUCUUGGUCCAUUUUGUGUUGCUGAAACAGAAUAUUUGAGACUAGGUAAUUUAUAAAGAAAAGAGAUUUACUUAGCUCACGUUCUGAAGACUGACAAAGACUGGGCAGCUUAUCUGGUAAGGGCCUGGUGCUGCUUAAAUUUAUAGUGGAAAGCAGAAGGGGAAGACUUUUACAAAAAGAAAAAUCACUACGGGGAACUUUGCUUUAUAGCAAUUAGCUCCCAGGGUAACUCGUCAAGUACCUUGAGAAGAAGAACUCACUUCCACAAGAGGGCAUUAAUCCAUUCAUUAGAAAUCUGCUGUCAUGACAAAAAUGUCUCCCACUAGGCCCCACCUCCCAAUACCUUAUUGAAAAUUGAGACCAGGCCUGGCACGGUGGUUUAUGCUUGUAAUCCCAGCAAUUUGGGAAGACAAGAUGGCAGAUCACACUUGAGCUCAGGAGUUUGAGAUUAGCCUGGACAACAUAGCAAAACCCUGUCUCUACCAAUAAAUACAAAAAUAAACCAGGGAGGUGGUGCAUGCCUGUCGUCCCUGCUACUGGGAGGAGCUGAGGCAUGAGGAUCACUUGAGCCUGGGAGGCAGAGGUUGCUGUGAGCCAUAAUUGGGGCACUGUACUCCAUUUUGGGCAUCAGAGCUGCACCCUGUCUAAAAUUUAAAAAAAAAAGAAAAGAAAAAGAAAAUUGAAUUUCAACAUAAGUUUCAGAGAAGACAAACCAUAUUUAAAUCAUAGCAACAUCAUUGGGAUUUGAUAGGACUUCCAUUAAAUUUGUAAAACAUUGAGGGAAUUAAUAUAAUAACAAUAUUAAGUCUUUCUAUUCAUAAAUAGGAGAUUUAUUUUUCCAUUUAUUUGUGUCUUCUUUAUUUUCUUUCAGCAAUGUUUUGUAGUUUCCAAUGUAUAAGUCUCUCACCUCCCUGGUAAAUUCUUAGGUAUUUCUAUUCUUUUGGAUGUUAUUGUAAGUGGAACUGUUUUCUAAUUUUCUUUUCAGAUUGUUCUUUGUUAGUGUAUAGAAACAUAUUAGCUGAUUUUUCUGUGUUGAUUUUGCAUCCUGAUACUUUGCUAAAUUUAUUAUUUGUAACAAUUAUUUUUGUGGAAUUUUUAGGGGGUUCUAUGUAUAAUAUUAUAUUAUCUGUGAACAUAGAUAAUUUUAUUCCAUUCGCAAUUUAAAUAAAUUUAAUUUCUCAUUUCUAAUUUAUCUGGCUAAUAUUUUCAAUAUUGUGUUGAAUAGAAAUGGCAAAAGCAGGCAUCCUUGUGUUUUUUCUUAUCUUAAAGGAACAGCUUUCAUACUUAUACCAUUGAGAAUGAUGUUAUCUGUGUGUUUGUUUGUUUUCAUAAUGGCUUCUAUUAUGUUGAGGUAGUUUCAUUUUAUUCCUAGUUUGUUGAGUGUUCAUAUCAUGAAAAAGUGUUAAAUUUUGUCAAUUUUUUUCUGUGUCUGUUGAGAUAAUCAUGUCAUUGUUAUGUUUUAUUUUUUUCAUUCUGCUAAUGUGGUAUAUUAAAUAGAUUGAAUUUGGAAAUUGAAUCAUUCUUGCAUUCCAGGAACAAACUCCAGCUGGUCAUGUUGUAUAAUCCUUUAAAUAUGCUGUUGAUUUUGGUUUGCUAGUAUUUUUUAGAAUUUUUCCAUCAAUAUUCAUCAGUAAUAUGUGUCUGUGGCAUUUUUUUCUUGUAGUUCUUUAUCUGGCUUUUGUAUCAGCAUAAUGCUGUCCUCAUCUAAUGAGCCUGAAAAUGCCCCCUCCUCUUCAGUUUUUUGGGAAGACUUUCAGAAAAACUAGUAUGUUGGUGCUUCCUUAAAUGUUUGCUAGAAUUGGCCGGGCGCGGUGGCUCACGCCUGUAAUCCUAGCACUUUGGGAGGCCGAGGUGGGCGGAUCACGAGGUCAGGAGAUCGAGACCAUCCUUGCUAACACGGUGAGACCCCAUCUCUACUAAAAAUACAAAAAAUUAGCCGGGCGUAGUGGCAGACGCCUGUAGUCCCAGCUACUCAGGAGGCUAAGGCAGGAGAAUUGCGUGAACCCGGGAGGCAGAGCUUUCAGUGAGCCGAGAUUGCACCACUUCACUCCAGCCUGGGUGACAGGGCGAGACUCCGUCUCAAAAAAAAAAAAAAUGUUUGCUAGAAUUUAUCAGUGAAUUCAACAGGUCCAGGGAUUUUGUUUGUCAGAUUUUUAAAUUAUUGAUUCUGUUGCCUUACUAGUUUUAGAUUGAUUCAGAUUUUCUAUUUCUUUAUGAUUCAUAUUUUUAUGUUUAAUGUUGCUAAGAAUUUGUUCAUUUUAUCUAGGUUAUGCAAUUUUUUGGCAAACAGUUAUUCAUAAUACUGUCUUAUAAUCCUUUUGACCUCUGUAGAAUAAGUGCAAUGUCCUAACAUUUAUUCCUGAUUUUGACAAUUUAAGUUUUCUCUCUUUCUCUUAGUCAAUCUAGGUAAAGAUUUUCCAUUUUUCUAAUCAUUUUUAAAGAAUCAAAUUUGGAUUUCUUGAAUUUUCUCUAUUGUUUUCUGUUCUUUAUAGAUCGCAGCUCUAAUCAUUAUUUUCUUCAUUCUGCUAGCUGUGGAUUUUAUGUUGUUUAUUUUUAUUAUUAAUAUUAUUAAUAAUAUAAUUAUUCCUUUUGUAUUUCCCUAAGUUGUAAAGUCAGGUGUUAAUUUGGGAUUUAUUUUUCUUUUUAAAUGUGCUUAUUACUAUAAAUUUUCUCCUUGAUAUCACUGUUGUUUCAUCCCAGAAGUUUUGGUAUAUUGUGUUUUUAUUUCAUUGUGAUUUAUUACUUGGCCCUAUUAUUAUUUAAGCAUGCUUUGUUUAAUUUCCACACAUUUAUAAUUUUUUUCAGUUUUUCUUAGUUAUUGAUUUCUAAUUUCAUUUAAUUGUGGUUGGAAAACAUACUUUUCUUAGUAUAUAUCUUUUUAUUCCCAUUGAGACUUAAUUUGUGACCUAACAUGUCUAUUCUGAAAAAUAUGUCAUGUACACUUGAGAAGAAUAUGUGUUCUGUUGUUGUUGAGUACAGUAUUCUGUGUAUAUCUGUCACACAUAGUUAAUUUUAUUGUGCUAUUCAAGCCUCUCCCUACCCUUUUGGUUUUAAUUUACCUCUGUGUGGUUGUCCUAUACAUUAAUGAGAAUAAGUUACUGAAUUCUAAUACUGUUAUGGUAGAACUGCCUAUCUCUCCCUUCAAUUAUAUCAUUUUUUGCUUCAGAAAAUUUUUGACUGUCAAUGCUUCAAAUAUUUUGAUUGUCUAUUAUUAUGUGCACAAAUGUUUAUAAUUGUUAUAAACAUUUCUUGCUGCAUUGAGCCUUUUGUUGUAAUGCCCGUUUUUAAUUGUAAACAUUUUUUAUUUAAAGUCUAUUUUGUCUGAUAUUAAUACUGUCAUACCAGUUCUCUUUUGGUUACUAUUUGCAUGAAUGUCUUUUUAUAUCUUUCACUUUCAACACGUUUGUGUCUUUGGAUCUAAAAUGAGUAGAGAACAUAUAAUUGAAACAUUUUUUAAAAAAUGUAUUCUUCCAAUAUCUCUUGAUUGGAGAAUUGAAUUCAUUUACAUGUAAAAUAAUUACUAAUGAGAAGUGCCUUACUUCUAUCAUUAUGUUAUUUGUUUUCUAUAUGUCCCAUUGGGAUUCCCCCUACCCAGCUUUCUUCUGCAUAUUACUUUCUUUUGCAUUUAGCUGACUUUUUGUACUAAAACUUUUUAAUUCCCUUUUCAUUUCCUUUAUUUAUAUUCUAUAGCUACUUUCUUUGUAGUUACCAUGAGAUAUUUAAGUUAUAACAAUUUAAUUUGAACUCAUAUCAGCUUAGUUUCAAUAAAAUACUAAAGCCCUGUUUCAAUAUAGCUUCUUUAUAACAUUUUUCAGUUAUUGAUAUCAUAAAAUUACUUAUAAUAGUUCUUAUGCAUUAGUAUUUUAAAUAAUGUAAAAAAAGAUGAAAUUAUAAACCUAAGUUGAAGCAAUACUUACCUUUAUAAUUAUCCAUGAAUUUAUUUUGACCAGAAAUCCUAUUCUUUCACACAGCUUUGAGUUACUGUCUCAGUCCUUUUAUUUCAACCUGAAAGAAUUCCUUAUGAUUUUUUAAAGGGCAUGCCUAGUUGUAAUGAAUUCCCUCAGCUUUUGUUUGUCUGGAAACACUUUUAAAAGAUAGUUUUUUUUAAACUCACUUUUAAAAGAUAGUUUUUUGAGAUGCAAAGUUCUCAUUCUUUGGGUUUUUUUUUUUUUCUUCAGCACUUUAAAUAUAUCAACCCACUGCAUUCUGGCUUCCAGGGCUUCUCAUCAAAAAUGUCCUGAUCAUAUUAUUAUGGAUCCCUUCUAUGUAAUGAGUCAAUUCUUUCUUGCUGUUUUCAAGGUUCUCUCUUUGUCUUUGGCUAUGACUGAUUAUAAUGUGUCUUGGUGUGGAGUUCUUUGAGUUUAUCCUACUUGGAAUUUGUUGAACUUAUUGGAUAUUUAUAUUUUGUCUUCUAUUAUAUUUGGGAACUUUUCAACCAUUAUUUCUUCAAAUAAUCUUUGCCCCUUUCUCUUUUCUUCUCACAAUGUGUAUGCUGCUUCUCUUGACAGUGUCCCACAGACCCCUAAGCUUUGUUCACUUUUCUUUUUUAAAAAAAUUGUUCCUAAAACUUGGUGAUUUUAAUAGUCCUGUCUUCAAAUUCACUGAUACUUUCUCCUGCCUGCUGUGUUUCUGGGACUCCUAAGUGAAUUAUUAAUAACAAUUGUUAUAAUUUUCAACUGGAGAAUUUGGAAUGGUAGGUCCUUUUUACAUUUUCUUUUUAUUUAGAUUUUUAUUUUGUCAACUUAUUAUUUUCUUGACUUUGUUAAAAAUCUUCUUUUAACUCUUGAGUGUUUUUAGAUCUUUUUCUAGUAAGGCUGCCAUCUGGUAUUUCUCAGGGAUGAUUUUUGUUGACCUUUUAAAUCUUUUUUGAAUUGAUCUAUUUUAAUGUUUCCUGGUAAUUUUUAUUGAAAAUUGGAUAUAUUAAUCUUUUAAUGUAGUAACAUCAGAUAUGAGAGUAUCCCCCUUUCCCAGGGCUUAUUGGUAGUUGUCAUUUGAUUUCUUGUAGGGGUUCUUGGUGCCAAGCCUGAGUGUAAACUUAUGGUCUUCUCAGUUCUCUGCUUGUAUAUCUCUCCCUAGACAUGUGAUGUGACUUUCUAAAUUAUCCUUUAUCUAUGGUUGAUUUUGAAUAUUCUAGUCCUUAAUUUUCUGUCUCCCAUAAGGAGAAAAAAAGAAAAUGAAGGAGGAAAAGAAUGCUGGACCAUUAAAUCUCCCAGAUAUCUCUUCAACCAUAAAGAGAAAGAGAGAGGCUUGCAACAUUUGUGGUAGGGGAUGCAAUGAUGGCUGCCCACUUUUGUGUCUGCACCUCCACAAUCAGAACCAUCAAUAAAUUAUCAGAAAGCAAGUCCCUAGUAUUUAAAGGGUAGGGUCUUUAUUGCCCAUCCUGACUCCCACAAGCUACUUGUAAGUUCUUCUAAAAACACAUGCACAGUCAGCUCCCAUAAAGCUGUAAAGUGGAGAAUAGGUAGCUGCUACUGCACUAAGAGUUGUACCUGGCUGACAUUAACUGCGAUUUAACAUCCAAGCCUUCCUCUAGAAAUCACAAACUUUUAAUAUAUUCCACAGUACCAAUACUGUUAUAUUGGAGAGAUGCUGCCAUUAUAAUUGCUGACUAAAUGGGGAGUUGGAUUCCUGGUGCUUCCUACAUUGCCAUCUUCCCUAAAAUUACUCUUUAGAGAAUAUAUUCUUGACCACUACACCACAAUUUCCCAUCAAUGUAUUUUUUCCUCCCCUGAACAAAAUUAGCCAGUUGGCUUUGUUAUAAUUGGAUAUAUGAGAUACACAGGAUAAAAAUAUUGUCCAGACUUUUCAAAAUAAAUCAAAUCAACAAGGACUGUGUGGCCUACACUCAAGGCUCGAGCUGCUCUGUUAGCCUAGGAAGGAUUUCAAUUUUCCAGUUCUCUGUUCAUGCUACUCUACUGCCUUGCGAUGAUCACUCUUUUCUCUUAGAGUUAAAAUAGGUCUAACUAUGUAAAUAAUUCAUAAAGUUUACUUUGUAUUCUCAUUUUUCCUGAAAUUCUAUUAACAAUAUUCAUUUCCCUUUCAACAUCACAAAGGGAUCUGGAUGAUAUGGGAAAGGGAAUGUUCUUUAACAAAUGUCAAUAACCUUUAAGUAUAAUUCUAUUGAUUCUAUCUCCUGGAUGUUCAUCUGUCCUGCUCUUUACCAUGACAAGUACUAGUGGUAUCCUAAACCAGCCUUUCUUCAUUUCUCUUUUAAAUUUUGUUAUUUAUCUUCUAAUUGCCUUUCUGUCUCCACUAUCUCCUCCUCUAAUUGGUCUUCUAUACUAGCAUAGUGUAAUCUUUCAAAAACACAUGUCUGAUCACAUCACUAGUCUGUUCAAAAAUUAUGUUCUUGGUAUAUGAGCACAAAUGUUCACAUAGUGUUGUCGUUGGUCACCAUUAGUUUGAUGCAGUGUGAGUCUCCAUCUCUGGAGCUAUGAAUAGGUGAUAUGUGGAAAGCUACAGCCCACUGAAGAUUAUUGUCCUGUGGUUAGAAAUAGGGAAACCAAGGUAUAGAGAGUGGUAAUGGUGGAUUUAAUAAAUACUAUGUUGAAAGAGACAAGUGAGAAACAGAACAAGAUAUAUAUAUAUAAAUAUAUAUGUAUAAAAUAUGUAUGUAUGCAUAUUACAUAUAAAACAAUAUUAAAUAUAUAAUAUUCUUGGAAAAUGUUUAAAUUUAAUCAUGAGAAAACAAUUUAAAAAAUUAAGUAUGUGAACUUUCAAGAAGGCAGAUGGCCUGUGUUCUUCAAAGAUUUGAUUUUAUAAAAAACAAAAUUAGGGGGAGGAGCCAAGAUGGCCGAAUAGGAACAGCUCCGGUCUACAGCUCCCAGCACGAGCGACGCAGAAGAUGGGUGAUUUCUGCAUUUCCAUCUGAGGUACCGGGUUCAUCAAACUAGGGAGUGCCAGAGAGUGGGCGCAGGUCAGUGGGUGUGCGCACUGUGCACAAGCUGAAGCAGGGCGAGGCAUUGCCUCACUCGGGAAGUGCAAGGGGUCAGGGAGUUCCCUUUCCUAGUCAAAGAAAGGGGUGACAGACAGCACCUGGAAAAUCGGGUAACUCCCACCUGAAUGCAGCGCUUUUCCGAUGGGCUUAAAAAAGGGUGCACCAGGAGAUUAUAUCCUGCACCUGGCUCAGAGGGUCCUAUGCCCACGGAGUCUCGCUGAUUGCUAGCACAGCAGUCUGAGAUCAAAUUGCAAGGCAGCAGUGAGGCUGGGGGAGGGGCGUCCGCCAUUGCCCAGGCUUGCUUAGGUAAACAAAGCAGCCAGGAAGCUCAAACUGGGUGGAGCCCACCACAGCUCAAGGAGGCCUGCCUGCCUCUGCAGGCUCCACCUCUGGGGGCAGGACACAAACAAAAAGAAAGCAGUAACCUCUGCAGACUUAAAUGUUCCUGUCUGACAGCUUUGAAGAGAGCAGUGGCUCUCCCAGCACCCAGCUGGAGAUCUGAGAAUGGGCAGACUGCCUCCUCAAGUGGGUCCCUGACCCCUGACCCCCGAGCAGCCUAACUGGGAGGCACCCCCCAGCAGGGGCAGACUGACACCUCACAAGGCCGGGUACUCCAACAGACCUGCAGCUGAGGGUCCUGUCUGUUAGAAGAAAAACUAACAAACAGAAAGGACAUCCACACCAAAAACCCAUCUGUACAUCACCAUCAUCAAAGACCAAAAGUAGAUAAAACCACAAAGAUGGGGAAAAAACAGAACAGAAAAACUGGAAACUCUAAAAAGCAGAGUGCCUCUCCUCAUCCAAAGGAACGCAGUUCCUCAACAGCAACAGAACAAAGCUGGACAGACAAUGACUUUGACGAGCUGAGAGAAGAGGGCUUCAGACGAUCAAAUUACUCCAAGCUACGGGAGGACAUUCAAACCAAAGGCAAAGAAGUUGAAAACUUUGAAAAAAAUUUAGAAGAAUUUGUAACUAGAAUAACCAAUACAGAAAAGUGCUUAAAGGACCUGAUGGAGCUGAAAACCAAGGCUUGAGAACGACGUGAAGAAUGCAGAAGCCUCAGGAGCCGAGGCAAACAACUGGAAGAAAGGGUAUCAGCAAUGGAAGAUGAAAUGAAUGAAAUGAAGUGAGAAGGGAAGUUUAGAGAAAAAAGAAUAAAAAGAAAUGAGCAAAGCCUCCAAGAAAUAUGGGACUAUGUGAAAAGACCAAAUCUACGUCUGAAUGGUGUACCUGAAAGUGACGGGGAGAAUGGAACCAAGUUGGAAAACACUCUGCAGGAUAUUAUCCAGGAGAACUUCCCCAAUCUAGCAAGGCAGGCCAACAUUCAGAUUCAGAAAAUAUACAGAAUGCCACAAAGAUACUCCUCGAGAAGAGCAACUCCAAGACACAUAAUUGUCAGAUUCACCAAAGUUGAAAUGAAGGAAAAAAUGAUAAGGGCAGCCAGAGAGAAAGGUCGGGUUACCCUCAAAGGGAAGCCCAUCAGACUAACAGUGGAUCUCUCGGCAGAAACUCUACAAGCCAGAAGAGAGUGGGGGCCAAUAUUCGACAUUCUUAAAGAAAAGAAUUUUCAACCCAGAAUUUCAUAUCCAGCCAAACUAAGCUUCAUAAGUGAAGGAGAAAUAAAAUACUUUACAGAAAAGCAAAUGCUGACAGAUUUUGUCACCACCAGGCCUGCCCUAAAAGAGCUCCUGAAGGAAGCACUAAACAUGGAAAGGAACUACCGGUACCAGCUGCUGCAAAAUCAUGCCAAAAUGUAAAGACCAUCAAGACUAGGAAGAAACUGCAUCAACUAACUAGCAAAAUAACCAGCUAACAUCAUAAUGGCAGGCUCAAAUUCACACAUAACAAUAUUAACUUUAAAUGGAAAUGGACUAAACGCUCCAAUUAAAAGACACAGGCUGGCAAAUUGGAUAAAGAGUCAAGACCCAUCAGUGUGCUGUAUUCAGGAAACCCAUCUCACGGGCAGAGACACACAUAGGCUCAAAAUAAAAGGAUGGAGGAAGAUCUACCAAGCAAAUGGAAAAUAAAAAAAGGCAGGGGUUGCAAUCCUAGUCUCUGAUAAAACAGACUUUAAACCAACAAAGAUCAAAAGAGACAAAGAAGGCCAUUACAUAAUGGUAAAGGGAUCAAUUCAACAAGAAGAGCUAACUAUCCUAAAUAUAUAUGCACCCAAUACAGGAGCACCCAGAUUCAUAAAGCAAGUUCUGAGUGACCUACAAAGAGACUUAGACUCCCACACAUUAAUAAUGGGAGACUUUAACACCCCACUGUCAACAUUAGACAGAUCAACGAGACAGAAACUCAACAAGGAUAUCCAGGAAUUGAACUCAGCUCUGCACCAAGAGGACCUAAUAGACAUCUACAGAAAUCUCCACCCCAAAUCAACAGAAUAUACAUUUUUUUCAGCACCACACCACACCUAUUCAAAAAUUGACCACAUACUUGGAAGUAAAGCUCUCCUCACCAAUGUAAAAGAACAGAAAUUAUAACAAACUAUCUCUCAGACCACAGUGCAAUCAAACUAGAACUCAGGAUUAAGAAUCUCACUCAAAACCGCUCAACUACAUGGAAACUGAACAACCUGCUCCUGAAUGACUACUGGAUACAUAACGAAAUGAAGGCAGAAAUAAAGAUGUUCUUUGAAACCAACGAGAACAAAGACACAACAUACCAG